GAUGAACGCUGGCGGCGUGCCUAAUACAUGCAAGUCGAGCGAACAGACGAGGAGCUUGCUCCUCUGACGUUAGCGGCGGACGGGUGAGUAACACGUGGAUAACCUACCUAUAAGACUGGGAUAACUUCGGGAAACCAGAGCUAAUACCGGAUAAUAUAUUGAACCGCAUGGUUCAAUAGUUAAAGAAGGUUUUGCUGUCACUUAUAGAUGGAUCCGCGCCGCAUUAGCUAGUUGGUAAGGUAACGGCUUACCAAGGCAACGAUGCGUAGCCGACCUGAGAGGGUGAUCGGCCACACUGGAACUGAGACACGGUCCAGACCCCUACGGGAGGCAGCAGUAGGGAAUCUUCCGAAAUGGGCGAAAGCCUGACGGAGCAACGCCGAGUGAGUGAUGAAGGUCUUCGGAUCUUAAAACUCUGUUAUUAGGGAAGAACAAAUGUGUAAGUAACUAUGCACGUCUUGACGGUACCUAAUCAGAAAGCCACGGCUAACUACGUG
rnacentral:rRNA from 1 species